GGUAAGGAAGCGAAAGGAAAAAGACACAAUUUAAAAAAAGACCAAUGUGAGUUCUAAAAUUGGUGUAUUGAACAUUGAAAAACGACUUGGGCAAUUAUGCUGUAUGUCCGACGAUAUAUUGUGUGAGACUUCUUUAAAAUAAACGACUUUAGGUCAGAAAUCAGAAGCCCAUUUUCAACAAUAAUUAUCUGUUAUGGUGCAACCAAACAGCACACUUUGUUGUGAACGUCUCUGACUGAUGAGAAAUCAACGUCGUUCGUUUAUUGACAACGUAAAGAGCGAGGUGGCGUGUUAGGCUAGCCUGCUAGCUACUUCCGUAGCGCCUUCGAGAGCGCCACGUCAGACGCCAGACAAAAAAAUCGAACAUCGAACCUCAAACGAUAGGCGUGUGUAGAGAAUGUUAUUAAAGAAAAAAAAAACA